AGGACAAUUCAAGGUGAACAGCCUUCCCUUCUUCUAGUAUUGUUUAGUGGCAGUUGGCAGACCAACACAAGGCACAUUACUGCCACCUACUGAGCUGGAGUGCAGAGCAAAGAGUCAGGAAGUACAACCCUCCCCCCAGAAAAUCUCAGGGUUCUUUUGACGACCCUGACCUGGAGUUACACACUGACUACGGUUCUUUGCAGGAAUGGGACCCGUUCUCGGGGUUCCACGACUGGCUGCUAUUCGACAUGCCAAGGGUUUGGCCUGAGAGUCUCGAUCGUGUUUGGAAGCCUAAGAUCUCAGGGCUCUGGAGACGGGCAGAUUGAGGGUCGGUAUCAUGGCAGGAGACUCAUGGGUCGUCGGGGAGGCCAGAAUAUCUUUCGCUGUGGGCCCGAAGACUCGAGGUCUUUGCGAUCUUUGGACACAGAGCUUGAAAAAAGCGACAAAAUGGAUUU